CCUCUGCCUCCAAGCUCCUGUCCAGCUUGAGUUCCUGCCCUGCUUCCCUCAGUGAUGAGCUGUUACCUUGAAUUAACCCAGCAGAUCUGAAGGAGAGUGACUUCCCUUGGCCCACCUACAUCAGCUCUGCAGCACCCUUCCGUAGCCUCAGGCAACUGUUCCCUGACCACGUCUGGCCUGGCCCAAGUGAGAAGGACAGAGGACAAGGUCCACAGUAACAGGGAGGGUGUCUCCAGUCCUGUCUUCUCUGUCAUUCCCAGGUCAGUUCUAAAGUCCAUCCUGAGAACUAGGGACGCCACUCUUCCUCCCUCCCCAGAAGCAAAAUGUAACCCCAGGAUCGGGAUCCGUGAGGCAGAGUGAAAUUAGUAGGUGUCUGGCCCAAGCAGCAGCUGGAGAGAAGCCCGCUCCUCCCCCCACAGCCCCAGGUUCAAGUGGGUGGAGACAGGGUGUGGAGACAGGGUGUGGAGGGCAGAAGCAGAACUUCCUCCAGCUACCCUUGAAAGCUGGUAUCCAGCGCAGGUGAGGACCCCAUGGGCUGUCCUGGUCUGUGGGCUGGCUCUGGUAGGGGACUGCCUGUCCUGGGGGAGGGAACUGUUUGUCCUGGGUGAGAGGAGCCUGCCUUGUCCCUUGUGCUGCGGUCCUGAGGUGGGGUCUGUGUUCUCUUGGUUCCUAUCUGGGAGCCACUUGUCCCUGUGCUCUAGGGUGCUGGCUCCAGUUACUGCUCAGGCUCGGGGCAGGCGUUUGCCCACUUUCCUCAGUUCCCCUUCCUUCAGAUUAGCUCUUGCCCCACUUAGCCUACUCCCGGAAGUCCUAACCCCCGUCAUUCUUGAACACUGGGAGUGUCUCCACUCUUGGGGGAUAUGCCAUGAGAUUCCAAGUCACAGAAUUUCAAAGUGCUUGGAGGUUCAGGGAACACCAUGGCUUUGCCUAGUUCAAUAGGCAACAACAUCCAUUGUGAGGCUUGCUCCAAAGCAGAGCUAACCAGAAGCUUGGAGGCUGGAAUAGGUCAGGACAUAGAACCCCCUCUGGGCUCCAAAAAAGAUCAAGGUAUAGACAUCUUGAGCAUCAUGGAGAGUAGCAUUCCAUGGUCAGUCAGCUGCCCAGGUUCAUCUGGGGUCAGCUAAAAUCUAUCAGAUCUCCAUUAGAGAAAUCCAAGUUUAGAAUUUCAAGAAGAAACAAAUGUCUUUGUUAAAAAUAGAGCUAGCUGGCCUCUGGAGGAGCCCACACCUGGCCUCUCGUAGCAUGGUCCUAAGGCUCCCAGAGAGAAGUCCUGCACUGGGAGACCCUGGUUUGAAGUUCUGAGUUCAGUCCAGAGCUGGGACUCUUCAUGUGGAGUCAAGAAAGCAAGGUCCCAGAGGGAGAGGGAGGGCGAGGCCUACCUAAGG
ensembl:lncRNA